CUGUGAAUCUUCUCGAUGUUCUGAUUCUGUGAUAAUCAGGGCAGGCUAGACAUUUGCUAUAGAGACACCACGCAUGUGUCCCCAGGCCUGGUUCUUUACCUAUGUCUGGCUUUCUAAAUUCUGGUGACAAAC
ensembl:snoRNA SNORA72 Small nucleolar RNA SNORA72